AGUUAGUCGUGGACACAGAGAGCUGGACACGAGUGAGAGUUGUAACGAACUAAAUACAGUGUUUAUCGUGUCAUUUUGUUAAUGUCGGACUGUGAAGUGUUGUUGUUGUUGAUUUGUGUGAGUUUGGGACUGUUUACAGAGAGCUAGAGGAGUGAGUUGAGCCGCCGCCAUCUUGGGAGAGACGUCAGUGGUUGUUUCACCUGAACAGGCGAGGGUGGAGGCUGUGGUUGGGAGGAGCUUCAGCGGUCGUAGCGGGUGAUUUGCCGGGUCCUGAGGAUGGUCUGCGGUUCCCUCUCUGCUCAGACAGCAGGUGGGCGUGGCCAUGACGUGUGUCACCUGCACGCUCUACCUGCAGGCUCCACCCCUCACCUAAAGCAAACGGAACAUUUCCAGGUGAGGACGAAUCUCCGACCGUGUGCUGCAUGUGUGAAAGGGGAAACAGUGGAGAAAGUCCGGAGCUGAUCCUCUGGACAGUUGAUGUGUGAAAACGGCUUCAGAGUGUCCAGUGAAGCUGCAUGUGUUUGGACUGUGGGAGGAAGCCGGAGGAGCCGGAGGAAACACACACAGGCACAGGGAGAACAUGCAGACUCCACACAGAGAAGCUGAACCGAGGUUCGAGCAAAACAACAUGUCAGGACUUUGUGGACGAGCUCUGUGUCUCUGAGAGGUCGUGAACUCACUCCUGUGUGAACUCUGUAACGGAGCCGAGCGUCGUCAGCAUCUGCUCCAACGAGAAGAUCUUAAAGGCCAG